rnacentral:misc_RNA from 1 species
GAGAAGAACGCAGCGAAAUGCGAUACUUGGUGUGAAUUGCAGAAUCCCGUGAACCAUCGAGUCUUUGAACGCAAGUUGCGCCCGAAGCCAUCAGGUUGAGGGCACGUCUGCCUGGGCGUCACAUAUCGUUGCCCAAUGCCUAUUGCAGUGCAAUAGGAAUUUCUAGGGCGAAUGAUGGCUUCCCGUGAGCGUUGUUGCCUCGCGGUUGGUUGAAAAUCGAGUCCUUGGUAGGGUGUGCCAUGGUAGAUGGUGGUCGAGUUAGAACGAUACCGAUCAUGUGCAUGCUCCCCAAAAUAUGGCCUCUAUGACCCACACGCGUCUUUUGACGCUCAUGACGAGACCUCAGGUCAGGCGGGGCUACCCGCUGAAUUUAAGCAUAUCAAUAAGCGGAGGA